AUGAAACCAAUUAAGACAACCAGUUUCCUCCCCUCAUGAGGGUUUUGUGUACAAUGGCUGCAAAAGCAGCCUCUUUGGUAGUAUAGUGUCCUGUUAUUUGUACAGGAUGUCCUAAGGGACCUUGAACACAGCU
ensembl:snoRNA SNORA70 Small nucleolar RNA SNORA70